rnacentral:tRNA from 1 species
UGGUAGCUCUAAUGGUAAAGCAUCUGCCUGCAAUGCAGGAGACCCAGGUUUGAUCCUGGCUA